AUACGGAGGGUGCAAGCGUUAUUCGGAAUCACUGGGCGUAAAGGACGCGUAGGCGGGUUGGCAAGUCAGAUGUGAAAUCCUACAGCUUAACUGCAGAACUGCAUUUGAAACUGCUAACCUAGAGUAUGGGAGGGGGAGAUGGAAUUAGUGGUGUAGGGGUAAAAUCCGUAGAUAUCGCUAGGAAUACUGAAAGCGAAGGCGAUUUCCUGGAACAUAACUGACGCUAAGGCGUGAAAGCGUGGGGAGCAAACAGGAUUAGAAACCCUAGUAGUCC
rnacentral:rRNA from 1 species